rnacentral:sRNA from 1 species
UACGAAACUUCUGAUACACUGUGAAGGC